GCUCAGGACGAACGCUGGCGGCGUGCCUAAUACAUGCAAGUAGAACGCUGAAGGAGGAGCUUGCUUCUCCGGAUGAGUUGCGAACGGGUGAGUAACGCGUAGGUAACCUGCCUGGUAGCGGGGGAUAACUAUUGGAAACGAUAGCUAAUACCGCAUAAUAUUGAUUAUUGCAUGAUAGUCAAUUAAAAGGUGCAAUUGCAUCACUACCAGAUGGACCUGCGUUGUAUUAGCUAGUUGGUGAGGUAACGGCUCACCAAGGCAACGAUACAUAGCCGACCUGAGAGGGUGAUCGGCCACACUGGGACUGAGACACGGCCCAGACUCCUACGGGAGGCAGCAGUAGGGAAUCUUCGGCAAUGGACGGAAGUCUGACCGAGCAACGCCGCGUGAGUGAAGAAGGUUUUCGGAUCGUAAAGCUCUGUUGUAAGAGAAGAACGAGUGUGAGAGUGGAAAGUUCACACUGUGACGGUAUCUUACCAGAAAGGGACGGCUAACUACGUGCCAGCAGCCGCGGUAAUACGUAGGUCCCGAGCGUUGUCCGGAUUUAUUGGGCGUAAAGCGAGCGCAGGCGGUUAGAUAAGUCUGAAGUUAAAGGCUGUGGCUUAACCAUAGUACGCUUUGGAAACUGUUUAACUUGAGUGCAAGAGGGGAGAGUGGAAUUCCAUGUGUAGCGGUGAAAUGCGUAGAUAUAUGGAGGAACACCGGUGGCGAAAGCGGCUCUCUGGCU
rnacentral:rRNA from 1 species